CGGGACGUGCGGAGGCUCUCACUUUCCGUCAUGGCGCUGAAGGUAGUGACCGUCGCCGGCAGCGCCGCGAAGGCGGUGCUCAGGCCAGCCCUUCUCUGCCGUCCCUGGGAGUGGGCCAUGCUGCACAGACAGGGGACCUGCCUGGGCACAGUGUGGACGGUCCAUUUUUCCUUCCAACUUGGCUUUCUGGGCUAGACAUCAAACCAACCGCUGGCAUUUGGUCUCUCUGCCAGGUUCUAGGCGCCCACGAGGUCCCCUCGAGGAGCAUCUCUUCACAACAAACAAUUCCUCCGUCGGCUAAGUAUGGCGGGCGGCACACGGUGACCAUGAUCCCAGGGGAUGGCAUCGGGCCGGAGCUCAUGCUGCAUGUCAAGUCCGUCUUCAGGCACGCAUGUGUACCAGUGGACUUUGAAGAGGUGCACGUGAGUUCCAAUGCUGAUGAAGAGGACAUUCGCAAUGCCAUCAUGGCCAUCCGCCGGAACCGCGUGGCCCUGAAGGGCAACAUCGAAACCAACCAUAACCUGCCACCGUCGCACAAAUCUCGAAACAACAUCCUUCGCACCAGCCUGGACCUCUAUGCCAACGUCAUCCACUGUAAGAGCCUGCCAGGUGUGGUGACCCGGCACAAGGACAUAGACAUCCUCAUUGUCCGGGAGAACACGGAGGGCGAGUACAGCAGCCUGGAGCAUGAGAGUGUGGCGGGAGUGGUGGAGAGCCUGAAGAUCAUCACCAAGGCCAAGUCCCUGCGCAUUGCCGAGUAUGCCUUCAAGCUGGCGCAGGAGAGUGGGCGCAAGAAAGUGACGGCUGUGCACAAGGCCAACAUCAUGAAACUGGGCGACGGGCUUUUCCUCCA
rnacentral:sRNA from 1 species